rnacentral:rRNA from 1 species
UACGUAGGGGGCAAGCGUUGUCCGGAUUUAUUGGGCGUAAAGAGCUCGUAGGCGGCUUGUCGCGUCGAAUGUGAAAACUCGGGGCUCAACCCCGAGCUUGCAUUCGAUACGGGCAGGCUAGAGUUCGGUAGGGGAGACUGGAAUUCCUGGUGUAGCGGUGAAAUGCGCAGAUAUCAGGAGGAACACCGGUGGCGAAGGCGGGUCUCUGGGCCGAUACUGACGCUGAGGAGCGAAAGCGUGGGGAGCGAACAGG